AAUUUAAAAAUUAAAUAUUUCUGACUUACCCAAAAUAUCUUUCAGGCUGCAUCACGAGCUCCAAAUGGUCAGCUAGAGAACUCAUUCACUGACCUUGGCAUUAAGCAUCGGAUGAUGCAGGUAACCACAUGAGAUACUCCAGGCUUUCUAAACAUGCAACAAAAUUAAUUUUGAAAAAUAAAUGUUAACUCUAGAAUGGAUAAAUUCUAAACAUAUUAAUUGAAGUUGUAGUACUUACGAGUAGCUCUGAACGUAGAUGAGCUCUCUAUCCUCUAGCUG
rnacentral:lncRNA from 1 species